rnacentral:tRNA from 1 species
GGAAAGGUGGCAGAGUGGUCGAAUGUACCGCACUCGAAAUGCGGCGUACGGGGUAAACUUGUACCGGGGGUUCGAAUCCCCCUCUUUCCG